rnacentral:rRNA from 1 species
UACGUAGGGUCCGAGCGUUGUCCGGAAUCAUUGGGCGUAAAGAGCGUGUAGGCGGUCCGGUAAGUCCGCUGUGAAAGUCGGGGGCUCAACCCUCGAAUGCCGGUGGAUACUGUCGGGCUAGAGUGCGGAAGAGGCGAGUGGAAUUCCUGGUGUAGCGGUGAAAUGCGCAGAUAUCAGGAGGAACACCUAUUGCGAAGGCAGCUCGCUGGGACGUAACUGACGCUGGAGACGCGAAAGCGUGGGGAGCAAACAGG